CUAAAUUAACCCCAUGGCAGUUCAAGGGGUCUGGAUUUUAUGACUCCCAGAUCUGGGUUCUGUUCCUUUAGCUCUCCAAUACUGUGUGGUGCUGUGUGCAUUUAAGCAGCUUGCUAAAACCUGGGCAGCUCCUCCUCUUCCUCCUCCUCUUCCUCUUCCUCCUCCUCUUCCUCCUCCUCCUCCUCCUCCUCCUCCUCC